rnacentral:lncRNA from 1 species
AACACAUAAGAGAUGGAGGAAGGAAAAUGUUUUUCUCUUGGUGUUGAAAACAUUAAAUCCUCAAAGACUCAUGAAGUGUAUAAUCACUGUGCAACUUUCACAAAACUCAGACAACCAUAUAACCAAGGAAAAAUGCUCCUAAUAAUAAUUUAUCUUUAUUUCUGUUUAUUUUUAGAGAAACAAGAUGCAGUAAUUAGUGACCUUCAAAGAGAACUUGACUGGAGAAGGAUCAUAGUCUGUCCAGGUAAUUACAGCUCAUAUGGAAUCAAUAUCCAAAGCUCCCCUUCCGGAGAUUUCCCAUCCUCUUUUCUCAUGCAGUUAACAUUUUGCAUAGCUCUUCGGGGCAGGGAGGGCUCUAUAUUUAGGUGAAAAGACGCAAAGGCCUGUGUGGCCAACAGUGCUGGGCAUGGGCCCUGAGAGGAAUGAUACCUCUUCCAGGGGGCUGCAGCUGAGGUUGGCACUAACCAUGCAAUCAU